AACGAACGCUGGCGGCAUGCCUAACACAUGCAAGUCGAACGAGACCUUCGGGUCUAGUGGCGCACGGGUGCGUAACGCGUGGGAACCUGCCCUUAGGUUCGGAAUAACUCCCCGAAAGGGGUGCUAAUACCGGAUAAUGUCUUCGGACCAAAGAUUUAUCGCCUUUGGAUGGGCCCGCGUUGGAUUAGCUAGUUGGUAGGGUAAAAGCCUACCAAGGCGACGAUCCAUAGCUGGUCUGAGAGGAGGAUCAGCCACACUGGGACUGAGACACGGCCCAGACGCCUACGGGAGGCAGCAGUGGGGAAUAUUGGACAAUGGGCGAAAGCCUGAUCCAGCAAUGCCGCGUGAGUGAUGAAGGGCUUAGGGUUGUAAAGCUCUUUUACCCGGGAUGAUAAUGACAGUACCGGGAGAAGAAGCGCCGGCUAACUCCGUG
rnacentral:rRNA from 1 species